CACCCCUCUCUCGGAGGAUGCUCCGGGGGCUGCCCCGACCCCGCGCACAACCUUGGCCCAAGUUCCGGGGGGCGCCCCCUCGCCCGGCUCGCUAGACGCCGGCGGGUGCACAGGACCCGGGUGCACCGGCUCUUCGCGCCGGGAGACGUCCACAAGCCGGUCCCCCGUCUCUUCGUGGUCCCCCUAAGUCCUCCGAAGUCCCUGGUCUCGGUCCUCUCCCCCACCCCCCAGACUCAGCCGAAGGAAAAACAGCAGGUCCUCCUGCCGCUUCUUCUAACCCUCCGCCUGCCUCGCCUGCCCCCCUCCGUCUCGGGCUGGAGGGGCGUCAGCCCAGGUGCCUCUGGAAGCUACACCUUGCCCUUCUUCAAAACAAGUUUAUAUCUGUAUCCAGAAGUGGAGUGUUUCCUGCCGUGUCAACACACAAAGAUGUCACAGCCAUCGGCGAUUCCGGCCCUCCAAAUGUGAAUAUCUGAGCCCCGAGGGCGCCCAGGAAGAAGGAUGAAGCUCUCAAAGACCAGCUCUAAGGAGCUGGGGGUAUUGGUGGCGGGGCGCGGGCAUGUGAAAAAACGCAGGAUUCUGGCUCCGCUAGCUGAGAUGCAUAUGAAAGGAAUGAUUUCUGCAAGCCCAGGCUCUUGCAUCUUUUCGUACACAGAAAAGUGCUAAAUUCCUUAACUUGAGAUAUCUGUUUUUUCAUAAUUAAUAAUAAUCUUUUGAUGUUCAGACUACUUGCCCCUUGUUGCAAACUUCUAUAUAAUUUCACUCCUCCGCACCACCCCCCCACCACCACUUUAUCAGUAGCAGUUCUCUCAGGGUUACUUGGGAUGCUGUCUCCCAGGCUUGCCGUCUUAAAAUUCCCACCAAAUAAAACAUAACUCUUGACUUUUAUGUUG
rnacentral:lncRNA from 1 species